rnacentral:rRNA from 1 species
CCUACGGGAGGCAGCAGUGGGGAAUAUUGGACAAUGGGGGCAACCCUGAUCCAGCCAUGCCGCGUGUGUGAAGAAGGCCCUCGGGUUGUAAAGCACUUUCAGUGAGGAAGAACGCCUGGUGGUUAAUACCCAUCAGGAAAGACAUCACUCACAGAAGAAGCACCGGCUAACUCCGUGCCAGCAGCCGCGGUAAUACGGAGGGUGCGAGCGUUAAUCGGAAUUACUGGGCGUAAAGCGCGCGUAGGUGGCUUGAUAAGCCGGUUGUGAAAGCCCCGGGCUCAACCUGGGAACGGCAUCCGGAACUGUCAAGCUAGAGUGCAGGAGAGGAAGGUAGAAUUCCCGGUGUAGCGGUGAAAUGCGUAGAGAUCGGGAGGAAUACCAGUGGCGAAGGCGGCCUUCUGGACUGACACUGACACUGAGGUGCGAAAGCGUGGGUAGCAAACAGGAUUAGAUCCCUGGUAGUC